GACGAACGCUGGCGGCGUGCUUAACACAUGCCAGUCGAACGGAAAGGCCCUGAUGUUGUGGUCUGCCCAAGUGACGAACGGGUGAGUAACACGUGAGUAACCUGCCCUUGACUUUGGGAUAACUUCAAGAAACUAGGGCUAAUAACGGAUAGAAACUCCCGCUGCACGGUAGGGGUUGGAAAGUUUCGGCGGUUGGGGAUGGACUCGCGGCUUAGCAGCUUGUUGGUGGGGUAGUGGCUUACCAAGGCUAUGACGGGUAGCCGGCCUGAGAGGGUGACCGGCCACAUUGGGACUGGGGUAGGGGCCAGAGUCAUACGGGCGGCAGCGGUGGGAAAUAUUGCGCAAUGCGCGGAAGCCGGAUGCAGCGACGCCGCGUGCGGGAUGACGGCCUUUCGGUUGUAAACGGCUUUCGCCUGAGACGGAGCGUGAGUGACGGUAACGGGUUAGAAAGCAACGGCUAACUACGUG
rnacentral:rRNA from 1 species